AUAUUUUGAAAUCGUUAUCACAAAAAUUAUUUUUUCUCGCAAAUAUUUUUUAAUUAAUGCGAUGGAUUCAAUUUUUAUAUUAAAACCUAACAAAUUUUUCAUUAUCUUAACACAAAAUUAUGAUGCCUUUAUUUUUCAAAGUAUCUGCCCAGAUUAAAAAGGGUAAACAUCAUAAAUGCGAUUGAAUAAAUUAAUUUCUUAACACAAGGAGUCUUAAUUAAUGCUACCGACAAACGGGCCAAUUUGAAUAAAAAAUCAGAAGGACAAAAAAGGGUUAAAAGGGCGAUUUUAGUGUGCGCGUGGUAGCGGCGGCUGCACAUGCAUGCACGCACUUGCAUGGAAUGCCUGCUGCCUGCCUCUGUUGUGGAGCGGGGGAGGGGCGACGGGCGGUGGCAGCAGCAAGAGACUUACAAAAUCCUGCUUCGCUCUCUUUGUCUAACGCGUCAACGGUCAACCGCCGUUCAAAUCGAAGUUAUUAACGGACGCAGGACGCCGGACGCCGCCAAUAAGGGACAUCACGGACGUCCCGCGGACUCGGACGGAUGGCCUGGGAUCUUACGGUUAACAGGCUUCAAGCCGUCCGCAGAUGUUUUGCACGACGGGAAAAGAUACAAUCGUUUAAGUUCUGCAGUUUGGGCUUCAAGAUUGGCGGUGCUGGCAUCGAAUGAGAGAAAAUUUUGUACCUGAUAUGAUGAAAAACCAAUAAAUUUUAAAAAUUUAACUAAAUAA